GAUAAUAAAUGUACAACAAACAAUCCAAUGUCAGAAAUGAUCACUAUUGCAAAAUGAGACUGAGAGCUUUUUUUUUUUUCUUUGCAAUUUCUACAGAUGAAAUCCCAACUCUGGCCACGGCCAAUAUUAGCUGGAUAAUUCUUUGAAUCUGGCUAAUGUGGAAUCUUGCCAAGGACAAAGAGGAUUUGCUCACUAACCGAGCAGUUUAGUGUCUCCAGGAGAUGCUUGAGGAGAGCUUUUAUGUACCCAGGAAUGAACUGCGAAUCAUUUAAGAGAAAUACUCGGAAGCCAUUAAGUGUGCCAGCUGCUCAGUGGGAGAAUCUGUAUCCCUGAGGGAACGCGGGGAAGAACGUCAUUGGAUCAUCUCCUUCGUUUAGCCUGUUCC